rnacentral:lncRNA from 1 species
AUUUCUUAGAAAGACCACUUUCAGAAUCCAUUUGACGUCCUUUUUCAAGCUUGCAACAGGAAUCUCUCAACGUCCAAUGCACACUUAACAGCACAUACCAGUAAUUUACUACUCUCUCAAAGCCUUGUUUACAACAGUCAAAGGGAUAGGAAACAGUGAUCAUAAAUCAACAAGAAUAUGUUUUGAUCAGUACUGCACUCUAUAGUACAGCUUAUGAUUUGAAGGCUGGGCUGGGGGGGACACAAUUUGUCUUCCUUUGUUAACAUCAAAAGAUUUACCUUGGAGUGAUUCUGCUUCACGCAUGUACAUGCAUAUCAAUGUUAUGUAGUGGUUAAUUAAAACGCAGUGGGUUUUGCCAGUAUUCUCUCCAGCCCACACACACUGUCAUGGAAAAUUAGGUUGGUAUAACCUUGAAAUAACCAUGUUGAUGGUCAGCUCUCCAAAACAUCUAGGCUAUUCAUGGAGUCUACUCAGUGAAAUCCAGGCACUAAAAUCACUAAGGUGUUGGUGAGAUGUUUACUUUGAAAUUCAAAUGCAUGUUACUAAAAUUGCUGUGUGUGUGUGCUUUGGUACAGUUAAGCACAUGAAUGUUUGGUAAAAUACAUUUUAAAAGGUUGCAUCCCAGAUUUCAGCAAAUUAAACGUAAAAAGUGAUGAAAAGUGAUAUGUUCCAUACUUUGGUAUGUGUGAGUGACUCUCUGGAAUGUGUGGCAGUGUUUGUUUGCUUCUUGCAAUUCUGAUUAAUUGUGGUUUGGCGCAUACAGCUGACUGCUGUCCUGAGGCACUUGAAACUGUGGAACUUAUGCCUGAUAGUCUGGGGUGAAUUCUGACUGACCCGUCCAUUGUCCUAGUCACUACUAUUGCACCACUUAGAGGAAGGAGGACAGAUCUCACUCCACCAGCAAUUUUUCCUUCUAUUUCAUACAGAAACACGGGUAACACUAUUCACACUAUAUGAGCAGAAGGCUAUUAUUUAAUAGAGAACAGAAGAGAAGAGAUGUUAGGGAGCAGGAAAAUGUGCCAAUUUAGCGAGAGUCCAGUCCUAUGUAAAGAAAUUAAAUCUGUCCCUUUAAGACGAGCACUAUGCAAACAGCACAGCAGUUUUCGGAGUGGCUAAAGUUUGCUAAAAUGUAUGCUAAAAUGAAACUAAAGUGAAGAAACUUGUGUCAGGCAAGGAAACAUCUUUCCUCUUCAGAAAUCUCUGUACAUAGCUACAGUCUCCUAUCGCUGUGGGCCUUUUAAUAAUCUAAGAACAGUCAACAUUAACACAGAUAUGGCCACCUCCAGCAGUCUCCUGUCUGAAGACCAGUUCUUGUGCUCUGUCUGUCUGGAUGUGUUCACUGAGCCAGUCACCACUCCAUGUUGACACAACUUCUGCAAGGCCUGUAUAAGACAGUACUGGAAUAGCAAUGACCUGUGUCCAAUGUGUAAGGAGAAAUUCCACCAAAAUCCUGCGCUUCGCAUCAGUACUUUCAUAUCUGAGAUGGCUGCUCAGUUCAGGAAGUCAGUUGAAGGCCACCAGCAGCUGAGAUCAAUGCCCCGUUCAACCUAUUACAUGCACUGCUGCUACUGUUGAUUAUCUAUCCUGUUGCUUAGUCACUUUACCCCUAGCAAUGUGUGCAUAUCUACCUCAGUUACCUCAUACCCCUGCACAUUGACUCAGUACUGAUACCCUGUGUAUAUAGCCAAGUUAUGGUUACUCAUUGUGUAUUUAUUCCUUGUGUUAUUUCUAACAAAAUACCUUUUCUAUUUUUAUCUCCGCAUUGUUGGGAAGGGCCCAUAAAUAAGCAUUUCACUGUUAGUCUACACCUGUUGUUUAUGAAGAAUAUGACAAAUAAAAUUUGAUUUGAG